UUAAAUUGAAGAGUUUGAUCAUGGCUCAGAUUGAACGCUGGCGGCAGGCCUAACACAUGCAAGUCGAACGGUAACAGGAAGAAGCUUGCUUCUUUGCUGACGAGUGGCGGACGGGUGAGUAAUGUCUGGGAAACUGCCUGAUGGAGGGGGAUAACUACUGGAAACGGUAGCUAAUACCGCAUAACGUCGCAAGACCAAAGAGGGGGACCUUCGGGCCUCUUGCCAUCGGAUGUGCCCAGAUGGGAUUAGCUAGUAGGUGGGGUAACGGCUCACCUAGGCGACGAUCCCUAGCUGGU
rnacentral:rRNA from 1 species